GACGAACGCUGGCGGCGUGCUUAACACAUGCAAGUCGAGCGGAAAGGCCCUUCGGGGUACUCGAGCGGCGAACGGGUGAGUAACACGUGAGUAACCUGCCCCAGACUUUGGGAUAACCCUCGGAAACGGGGGCUAAUACCGGAUACGACACAGCUUCGCAUGGGGUCUGUGUGGAAAGUUUUUCGGUUUGGGAUGGGCUCGCAGCCUAUCAGCUUGUUGGUGGGGUGAUGGCCUACCAAGGCGACGACGGGUAGCCGGCCUGAGAGGGCGACCGGCCACACUGGGACUGAGACACGGCCCAGACUCCUACGGGAGGCAGCAGUGGGGAAUAUUGCACAAUGGGCGGAAGCCUGAUGCAGCGACGCCGCGUGAGGGAUGACGGCCUUCGGGUUGUAAACCUCUUUCAGCAGGGACGAAGCGUAAGUGACGGUACCUGCAGAAGAAGCGCCGGCCAACUACGUG
rnacentral:rRNA from 1 species